GUGCAGCAGGCGAGAAACCUCCGCAAUGCAGGAAACCGUGACGGGGUCACCCCGAGUGCCUCCCGAUAAGGGAGGCUUUUCCCCGCUGUAAACAGGCAGGAGAAUAAAGCGGGGGGCAAGUCUGGUGUCAGCCGCCGCGGUAAUACCAGCCCCGCGAGUGGUCGGGACGGUUAUUGGGCCUAAAGCGCCCGUAGCCGGCCCGGCAAGUCCCCGCGUAAAGCCCCGGGCUUAACCCGGGGAAUUGCGGGGAUACUACCGGGCUAGGGGGCGGGAGAGGCCGAGGGUACUCCCGGGGUAGGGGCGAAAUCCUGUAAUCCCGGGGAGGACCACCAGUGGCGAAGGCGCUCGGCUGGAACGCGCCCGACGGUGAGGGGCGAAAGCCGGGGGAGC
rnacentral:rRNA from 1 species